UGGGGAAUAUUGGACAAUGGGGGCAACCCUGAUCCAGCGAUGCCGCGUGAGUGAAGAAGGCCUUCGGGUCGUAAAGCUCUUUAGGUUGGGAAGAAGUGUAUUAGGUUCAUAGCCUAGUAUGUUGACGGUACCGACAGAAUAAGCACCGGCAAACUCUGUGCCAGCAGCCGCGGUAAUACAGAGGGUGCAAGCGUUAAUCGGAGUUACUGGGCGUAAAGGGCGCGUAGGCGGUUAUAUGUGUGUGAUGUGA
rnacentral:rRNA from 1 species